rnacentral:lncRNA from 1 species
CCCCGAUUCAAGCUUAAAUAUGAAAAAUCUAUCAAAUAUGCCAAAAAUCGUCACUUUUUAGAUGGUUUUUGUCAAAAAUGAAAGUGGCCGCAUCCGUGUUCAUCCUCAACCUUUAUAUAUAUUAUGUAUUAUCAUCAAAUACAACUUACAGUUCAAUAUUAUGAAUGAACACGAAUGCGGCCACUUUCAUUUCAGACGGAAACCGUCUAAAAUUUAACUAAAAUGCCACAAUUGUGAAGAUUUCAGUAAUUUAGCAUGACUUAAUGAUGCUAGUACCCGAUAUAUGUGCAUUGUUUUGUCAAAAACAGCCCA